UUCCGGUUGAUUUGGCGGACCUGACUGCUAUCGGAUUGGUAGGGAGCCAUGUGAGUCGUUGUAGCAAUACAAGGCGGACGGCUCAGUAACACGUAGUCAACCUAACCUAUGGACGUGGAUAACCUCGGGAAACUGAGAAUAAACCGCGAUAGAUCAUUAUGCCUGGAAUGGCUUAUGGUUCAAACAAUUUAUUGCCGUAGGAUGGGACUGCGGCCUAUCAGCUUGUUGGUGAGGUAAUGGCCCACCAAGGCUAUAACAGGUACGGGCUCUGAGGGGAGAAGCCCGGAGAUGGGUACUGAGACACGGACCCAGGCCCUAUGGGGCGCAGCAAGCGAGAAACCUUAGCAAUGUGCGAAAGCACGACUGGGUCAGUCCGAGUGAUUCCUGAUAAAGGAGUCUUUUAUCUGUCCUAAAAGCACAGGUGAAUAAGGGGUGGGCAAGUCUGGUGUCAGCCGCCGCGGUAAUACCAGCACCUCGAGUGGUCAGGACGUUUAUUGGGCCUAAAGCAUCCGUAGCCGGCUCUGCAAGUCUUCGGUUAAAUCCACCUGCUCAACAGAUGGGCUGCUGGAGAUACUACAAAGCUAGGGAGUGGGAGAGGCAGACGGUAUUCAGUGGGUAGGGGUAAAAUCCUCUGAUCCAUCGAGGACCACCAGUGGCGAAGGCGGUCUGCCAGAACACGUUCGACGGUGAGGGAUGAAAGCUGGGGGAGCAAACCGGAUUAGAUACCCGGGUAGUCCCAGCUGUAAACGAUGCAAACUCGGUGAUGCAUUGGCUUAUGGCCAAUGCAGUGCCGCAGGGAAGCCGUUAAGUUUAAAACCUGCAAGUACGGACGCAAGUCUGAAACUUAAAGCAUAAAGCGGGGGAGCA
rnacentral:rRNA from 1 species